UUUAGUUUUUUCGAAAUUGCGAGUUUAUAUCACAAAUCUGACUUUAUUUCAAAAAAUUGCGACUUUGUAUCGUAUGUAAACUCGCACUUGCGAGAAAAAAAAAGUCUGAAUUGUGAAGUAAAAAUCAACAAUUUGUUAUUUUUUUUAUUCGGUGGCGGAAACAGGCUUCCGUACAAUGUUGACAGUAAUGUUGCCUUUGCAAAAUUUGUAUGAAUAAUGCAGUGUUUUAAUGCCGUUUAAUGUUAUUGUAACAAAGGUUAGGGCAAUCAUAGCACAUAAUGAUAUAUUUAAAAAUAAAUAAAUAAGCAGCAUUAAAACUGUGAUAUGUGGAGAUCAUGUUACCGACUGUUAUUUAAUGUCUGUGGUGUGUUGUUAUAACUCUCGUUUACCCAGGAGAACUCUGGAAAAUUCGUGUCACCAUCCAGACAGAUGCAAUUCCAGGAUUUGAGCGAAGUCUUUUCGCCAUCAGAAAGUGAAAACCAGGACCCUGUGAAGACUACGGCAUUGGAGAGUUUCGGCAUGGGUGGAGGGAGCCGAUUUCUGAAGAAGACCUCCAAAGAUGCCACUGGAGACAGAGUGUCAUCUACUCCUCGAAAAACUCCUGCAGGAACGUUCAUACCUCAACGCAGUUCACAAAGCGCAGCUUUGAGUAGGCUAGCGCUCAUCGAGAACCGCAUCAGAAACCAGAAAACCAAAAGUGACGGCGCUAGUAUCCAUGCAAACCUCUCAGAACCACAAGAGACACGUACAUCUUUACAGUCCAGCAGUGAGCUGAGCAUGACAGGGAAUCGCUUUCUAAAGAAGAGGACUGUGUCCGCACCUCGAGAGCAGAAGGUUCCUGAGAGAACGUUUGGUAUGAAUGAACGUAAAGAAAGGAGAGUCAGUUUAGACAGCGACGAACAGGACAUGCGAAGACUUCUAGGAGAUUCUUUUAGCUUAUCAGAAGGUUCCUUGCAAAAUGCAGCAAGGCAAAAGAGUCCUCAACCAGUUAAAAAGUUAUACAAGAAGAGCAGUGAAAAGUCCACCAUACCUUCGCCGACUCCUGAAAAACAUGAAGUUCUCACCCAUCAAAGUCUUUCUCCUCCACCCAGCAGGCCUGAGUCACACAUAGUCAGGUUUACUGAACAUUCAGUGUCCUCUGAAACAGAUCACAGUGAGAUCCGGUCUUUGGACGAUCUUUUUCCUGUUGCUGCGGCACCUGAUUCUGAUGAUACUCUGAGUGAGAGGAGUGCAGUAUUGGAUGGUAAAACACCUGUGGAUUCAACAUCUACCAAUCAUCUGGAAACAUUCUUAACUAUUGUUAAAUUUAAUUGUUCACUGUGUUUUAAAAUGUUUUUCUCUUGAUGACCUA
ensembl:lncRNA